GUCAGUUUCAACAUAAACCAUGUUCUCUGGAGCUCUGCUGCUGCUGUUGGCAGCUGGAUAUGUGAAGUGUGAACAGUUGACCCAGCCAGCCUCUGUGACUGUGCAGCCAGGUCAACGUCUGACCAUCACCUGUCAGGUCUCUUAUUCUCUCAGCAGCUACUACACAGCUUGGAUCAGACAGCCUGCAGGGAAAGGACUGGAGUGGAUUGGAAUGGCAGCAGUUGGAUCCACUACAUGCUUAAAAGAUUCACUUAAGAACAAGUUCAGUAUCAGCUUGGACUCUUCCAGCAAGACAGUGACUCUAAAUGGACAGAAUGUGCAGCCUGAAGACACUGCUGUGUAUUACUGUGCCAGAUACACACAGUAA